rnacentral:rRNA from 1 species
UUGAACGCUGGCGGAAUGCUUUACACAUGCAAGUCGAGCGGCAGCGCGGGGCAGCCUGGCGGCGAGCGGCGAACGGGUGAGUAACAUAUCGGAACGUACCCUAUCGUGGGGGAUAACACAUCGAAAGAUGUGCUAAUACCGCAUACGACCUGAGGGUGAAAGCGGGGGAUCGCAAGACCUCGCGCGACAGGAGCGGCCGAUAUCGGAUUAGCUAGUUGGUGGGGUAAAGGCCUACCAAGGCGACGAUCCGUAGCUGGUCUGAGAGGAUGAUCAGCCACACUGGGACUGAGACACGGCCCAGACUCCUACGGGAGGCAGCAGGGGGGAAUUUUGGACAAUGGGCGCAAGCCUGAUCCAGCCAUGCCGCGUGAGUGAAGAAGGCCUUCGGGUUGUAAAGCCCUUUCAGACGGAAAGAAAUCGGGCGCGUGAAUAGCGUGCCUGGAUGACGGUACUGUCAGAAGAAGCACCGGCUAACUACGU